rnacentral:rRNA from 1 species
CCUACGGGAGGCAGCAGUGGGGAAUAUUGCGCAAUGGGCGAAAGCCUGACGCAGCGACGCCGCGUGCGGGAUGAAGGCCUUCGGGUUGUAAACCGCUGUCGGGUAGGGACGAAUCAAUGACGGUACCUCCAAAGGAAGCACCGGCUAACUCUGUGCCAGCAGCCGCGGUAAUACAGAGGGUGCAAGCGUUGUCCGGAAUUACUGGGCGUAAAGGGCGCGUAGGCGGUUCGGUAAGUAGGGGGUGAAAUGCUGCGGCUACAACCCGGCAGCCCCUGCCUUCUAAACUGCCAGACUUGAGCGUAACAGAGGCAGGUGGAAUUCCCGGUGUAGCGGCGGAAUGCGUAGAGAUCGGGAAGAACAUCGGUGGCGAAGGCGGCCUGCUGGGUUACUGCUGACGCUGAGGCGCGAUAGCGUGGGGAGCAAACAGGAUUAGAUACCCUGGUAGUCCACGCCGUAAACGAUGGGUACUAGGCGCUGGGGGAGCGACCCCUCGGUGCCGUCGCUAACGCAAUAAGUACCCCGCCUGGGGAGUCGGCCGCGAAGGCNGACACAAUAGAUAGACGCGNGAGACGUGCGACGCGACGACGAGGAGAGG